UAACGAGCGAGACCUUAACUUUUAAAUAGGCACGCUAGCAUUUGCUGGUGCUGCCUUCUUAAAAGGACUAUCUAUGUCAAGUAGAUGGAAGUUUGAGGCAAUAACAGGUCUGUGAUGCCCUUAGACGUUCUGGGCCGCACGCG
rnacentral:rRNA from 1 species